UUACUGGUAUUGGCCAAACACCCGAAUGCUGAUCAAUUAUCUGCAAAAUAAACAAUUUGGAUUUCUCAAAGCAAGAUCACCCUCUUCCGCAAAGAUGUGGCAUAACUCUCCGGAAAAGUCUUGACAUUGUUGAGGGUUUCCUGGCCCAACGAGAAUAAUGAUUAUCAAAUAUUUAUUAAAUAUUUAUUUGAUAAUUGCAGUAAUGUUCGUGGCAACUCGUGGUUUCAAGAGUCACGUGAACCCGUGACUCAAUGUAAAUCAAAAGGGAUACACCAUGGGCUCAUACACGAGUGAUUCGUUGCACGUAUCGUGAGCUUAAGACUCAACGGUUAAUCAUUCCACCCCUGGUAUCUAAACACGUGAUGUCUGUUGGUCGCACCUUCAAUGCUGUCUCGGUUUGUUUAUAAUGUGCGCUUCGUACAACUCCGUAUCAGCAUAAACACAAACACUGCCGUUUUUUAUGUGCUUAAUCACUCCUGCCUUGUUAACUAUGUAUUGGUUUUGUCAUUCACAGUUUCCGGUCAGCUGAGUGAAAAACACUAUGCCAUCUACUGGAGAGAACUCGUCAAGUUAUGGAAGGAUUUUCAGGAAGCUUUGAAGACUUCGAAGGAACCGUCAUGCCCUGUCUGUGAACCCACGUAUGUAUCUGCCCUGCGCUGCGAAUCCUGCCAGAAAGAGAAUAAGGAAGUCUGCCUGUCUUAUUGUGAAAGUACGUCAUCCUGGAGUUAUAACUUCAGGAAUGCCUCACUGCGUGCAAUUUAUAUCACUCCUAAAAUAUGACUCUCGUAAAAUCUGUCGCAUUGUCCUUGCAAUCCAAGUACGAUGAAUCGAAGUAUUAAUUUUACUCAUUAAAAUCUAUGCAUCGUUCCAUGCAUGUGCAAUGCCUUGAGAUGCUCAAUUUGCAUAACCAGGCAGGGGUAGAGCAACAAGCAGAAACAUUGUAGGAACAUAUUCUUGGUUCAUAUUCUUGUUUUUUUCGGUAAAGUCACGUUGAAGGGAAACAAUAAAAUAAUAAUA